rnacentral:rRNA from 1 species
UGGCUGUCGUCAGCUCGUGUCGUGAGAUGUUGGUUAAGUCCGCAACGAGCGCAACCCUUGCCAUUAGUUGCUACGAAAGGGACGACUCUAAUGGGACUGCCGGUGACAAACCGGAGGAAGGUGGGGAUGACGUCAAGUCCUCAUGGCCCUUAUAGGUGGGGCUACACACGUUAUACAAUGGCCGGUACAGAGGGUAGCCAACCCGCGAGGGGGAGCCAAUCCCACAAAGCCGGUCGUAGUCCGGAUCGCAGUCUGCAACUCGACUGCGUGAAGUCGGAAUCGCUAGUAAUCGCGGAUCAGCAUGUCGCGGUGAAUACGUUCCCGGGUCUU